rnacentral:tRNA from 1 species
AAUCAAUGAGCUUGAUAUAAGCAUAUGUUUUGAAAACAUAAGAUAAAAAACAAUAAUUUUUAUUGAUUU